UAUUUACUAAUGUUCAUAUUUUGUUUGUUUUCAUCGCACCUUUUUUAGCCCUAAAAAUAGAAUAUUUUCCUGAUUACACCAUUUGUUUGUAAUUUACCAAGUGUAAAAACACUAAUACAAAAUGGCGCUGUCUAAAAGCUGUCAGUGGGAGCCGCGCCGGCCAAUCGUAACAAUCUGUAUUGGAUUUUUGGCUCGAGAGGUUUUUGUAUUGAUUUGUAUUGAAUAUUGUAUAUUGAAUAUUCUUGUGCAAAUGAGGUUUUCGCACUCUUAUUUGUAUUCGUUCUGCGGUUUUAUUCCUUCGUGUUUUUUACAUUGGAAUCUUUUAAUAAAUAAGAAAUUUGUGAGAUUUGUGCCGGUAACUCGGCCCAGUAACAUGGUUCCCUGAUUCCCUUCCAUAUCGGCCUCUGUGCAUCCCAUGUUUGUAUCCCCGUGCCACUUUUCCCAGUGAAUCUGAUCUAUUUUCCUCUCUUAAUCAGGUUCCGUCGGUUGGAUGUGGCGACACCACCUGCCCAGAGCCACCGACCCCUGGUACCAACAUCUGCCAGGUAAGUAGUAAAGGAACUAUUUUAUUUUCUGAGUUAAUUAAUGAUAAUGAACUACAGAACUAUAGUAAGUUGAUCCCAUAACUAAUCGUAUCGCUCUUCAUCAGGAGGAGCCAGAGCAGGUUGCUGAGCCUGGCGAGGAGAUUGAGGAGCGCCCAGAAACACCCGGGGCUCAGACUCGCCAGGAGGAACCAGCUGACAAUCCCUCCGACAUUAACACCUGUCAGGAGGGAGCAGGCGACGCUCUGCCUCAGGACUAUCAGGAGCCUGAAAAGAGCCUUGAUGACGU